UACGAAGGGGGCUAGCGUUGCUCGGAAUUACUGGGCGUAAAGCGCACGUAGGCGGCUUUCUAAGUCGGGGGUGAAAUCCUGGAGCUCAACUCCAGAACUGCCUUUGAUACUGGGGAUCUCGAGUCCGGGAGAGGUGAGUGGAACUGCGAGUGUAGAGGUGAAAUUCGUAGAUAUUCGCAAGAACACCAGUGGCGAAGGCGGCUCACUGGCCCGGUACUGACGCUGAGGUGCGAAAGCGUGGGGAGCAAACAGG
rnacentral:rRNA from 1 species